rnacentral:tRNA from 1 species
AGGCUACGUAGCUCAGUUGGUUAGAGCACAUCACUCAUAAUGAUGGGGUCGCAAGUUCGAAUCUCUUCUCUA